GAUGAAGAACGUAGCGAAAUGCGAUAAGUAAUGCGAAUUGCAGAAUUCCGUGAGUCAUCGAAUCUUUGAACGCACAUUGCGCCCUCUGGUAUUCCGGAGGGCAUGCCUGUCUGAGCGUCAUUGUCAACCCUCAAGCUCAGCUUGCUGUUGGGUCCCCGUCGUUGCUUUAACGGCAGACCCGAAAGGUAAUGGCAGAGUCCGUGAGACCCUAGACGCAGCGAGCUUCUAGCACGCGUCUGGACGUUUUUCGGGCUCGGUCUUAACUAGAUGAUAACUUCCGAUUGACCUCAGAUCAGGUAGGGAUACCCGCUGAACUUAAGCAUAUCAAUAAGCGGAGGA
rnacentral:misc_RNA from 1 species